rnacentral:rRNA from 1 species
UACGGAGGGUGCAAGCGUUAUCCGGAUUCACUGGGUUUAAAGGGUGCGUAGGAGGGCAGGUAAGUCCGUGGUGAAAUCUCCGAGCUUAACUCGGAAACUGCCGUGGAUACUACCGGUCUUGAAUAUCGUGGAGGUGAGCGGAAUAUGUCAUGUAGCGGUGAAAUGCUUAGAGAUGACAUAGAACACCCAUUGCGAAGGCAGCUCGCUACACGAAUAUUGACUCUGAGGCACGAAAGCGUGGGGAUCAAACAGG